AUUCUGCAAUCUCCACGGUGGACCCAAAUAUUCCCCAGCUGCUGGUGACAGGUCAAGCAAAGGCACCAGAUUCAGCCCUUUCCCAGUGUGGAAACCCAGGGCACCAGGAAUAUUUCUCUGUCUGCCCUGGGGUGUCCUGACCCCCAGGGAAGCACUGACUUUGACCCUCAUCCAUGGAGAAAACUUCCAAAGCCUCAAGGGUCUGGUGCAGACAGCGUGCUGAAGUUUUGAUAACAAUAAACAGAUGCUGAAGACCAAAAAAG